GUGCUAGCUUUGGCAGCAUAUAUACUAAAAUUGGAAUUAUACACAAAAGAUAAGCAUGGCCCCUGCACAAGGAUGACAUACAAAUUUGUGAAGCAUUCCACAUUUGU
rnacentral:snRNA from 1 species